GUUGGAAACGACAGAAAACACCCGUUCCCAUCCCGAACACGGUCGUAAAGACUCACCUCGGUGACAAUACUUGGCGGGCCACCGCCCGGGAAGAUAACUCGUUGCCAGCA
rnacentral:rRNA from 1 species